rnacentral:rRNA from 1 species
AUACGGAGGGUGCAAGCGUUAUCCGGAAUCAUUGGGUUUAAAGGGUCCGUAGGCGGGCUAAUAAUUCAGGGGUGAAAUCCCACAGCUUAACUGUGGAACUGCCCUUGAUACUGUUGGUCUUGAGUUACAGUGAAGUGGUUAGAAUGUGUAGUGUAGCGGUGAAAUGCAUAGAGAUUACACAGAAUACCGAUUGCGAAGGCAGAUCACUAACUGUAUACUGACGCUAAUGGACGAAAGCGUGGGGAGCGAACAGGAUUAGAAACCCCAGUAGUCC